GCUGCUGUAGGGCAGGAGGAGAGAGGUGUUACCUUAUCAUCUGCCUCCUCUCCCAUCCUCUCCUUCUGCAGAAGC
rnacentral:pre_miRNA from 1 species